rnacentral:rRNA from 1 species
AUGAUGAUGAAACGGAUACAAACUUCACAUGCCCACAGCACUGCACUCCUACGCAGCUCAGUAAAAAGCGGCGUGCCUGGAAGACCCUCGACUCAACUGCUCCGCCGUCCACGUCAAACCCCGAACGAAAAUACGGCGAGACCGGCACGCACGCCAGGCCGCGUUCACGCUUACCGCUUACUACGCGGCAGCAGCGGGUGGGGAGACCAAGUGGGGAGCGGGGCGCACGACUUGGACCCGGCAGCGCGCGACGUCCCGUCGACUUUGUCCCGAUCACGCGGCUCCACUCCGCGCCGCGCGCUCCGCUCCGCACCGCACCGCCCGCCGUCUACCACAGCACACCACCACCAUCCCAAAAGCAAGAAAAGAAAAGGCAAGCAGACAGGCAGACAGACGGAUACGUGCCGGCGUCGCCGGGCAAUCCCCGUCCACGCCUCCCGCCUCCACCUGGCGCGGCGCCGUUCGCCUGCGAGGGGACCACGCACCACCCGACGACCGAUUUGGAGAGGCGGCACGUAG